rnacentral:tRNA from 1 species
GGAUGUGGCUCAGUGGUAGACUGCUUACCUGGAAAGCAUGAGGCCCUGGGUUCAAUCCCCAGUCCA